GAGUUUGAUCCUGGCUCAGGACGAACGCUGGCGGCGUGCUUAACACAUGCAAGUCGAACGGUAAGGCCCCUUUUUUGGGGUGUACGAGUGGCGAACGGGUGAGUAACACGUGAGUAACCUGCCCCAGACUUUGGGAUAACAGUUGGAAACGAUUGCUAAUACUGGAUAUGAGCUGCUGCCGCAUGGUGGUGGUUUGAAAGUUCCGGCGGUUUGGGAUGGGCUCGCGGCCUAUCAGCUUGUUGGUGAGGUGAUGGCUUACCAAGGCUUCGACGGGUAGCCGGCCUGAGAGGGCGACCGGCCACAUUGGGACUGAGAUACGGCCCAAACUCCUACGGGAGGCAGCAGUGGGGAAUAUUGCACAAUGGACGGAAGUCUGAUGCAGCAACGCCGCGUGCGGGAUGACGGCCUUCGGGUUGUAAACCGCUUUCAUCCAUGACGAAGCUUUUGUGACGGUAGUGGGUAAAGAAGCACCGGCUAACUACGUGCCAGCAGCCGCGGUGAUACGUAGGGUGCGAGCGUUGUCCGGAUUUAUUGGGCGUAAAGAGCUUGUAGGCGGUUUGUCGCGUCGGGAGUGAAAACUCGGAGCUUAACUUUGAGCUUGCUUUCGAUACGGGCUGACUUGAGGGAGGUAGGGGAGAAUGGAAUUCCUGGUGGAGCGGUGGAAUGCGCAGAUAUCANGAGGAACACCGGUGGCGAAGGCGGUUCUCUGGACCUUUCCUGACGCUGAGAAGCGAAAGCGUGGGGAGCGAACAGGCUUAGAUACCCUGGUAGUCCACGCCGUAAACGGUGGGUACUAGGUGUGGGGGACAUUUCCACGUUCUCCGUGCCGUAGCUAACGCAUUAAGUACCCCGCCUGGGGAGUACGGCCGCAAGGCUAAAACUCAAAGGAUUUGACGGGGCCCCGCACAAGCGCCCCCCGCCCCCGGAUUAAUUCGAUGCAACGCGAAGAACCUUACCUGGGUGGGGCUUUUUCCCCCCCCCCCCCCCCCCGGGCGUGCCUNUUUGGUCGGAAAAAAAAAAGUGCAUGGCUGUCGUCAGCUCGUGUCGUGAGAUGUUGGGUUAAGUCCCGCAACGAGCGCAACCCUCGUCCAAUGUUGCCAGCGGGUUAUGCCGGGGACUCAUUGGAGACCGCCGGGGUCAACUCGGAGGAAGGUGGGGAUGACCCCCCCCCCUCAUGCCCCUUAUGUCCAGGGCUUCCCCCACCCCCCAAUGGCCGGUACAAAGAGCUGCGAGCCUGUGAGGGUGAGCGAAUCUCGGAAAGCCGGUCUCAGUUCGGAUUGGGGUCUGCAACUCGACCCCAUGAAGUCGGAGUCACGAGUAAUCGCAGAUCAGCAACGCUGCGGUGAAUACGUUCCCGGGGCUUGUACACACCGCCCGUC
rnacentral:rRNA from 1 species